rnacentral:rRNA from 1 species
AUUGAACGCUGGCGGAAUGCUUUACACAUGCAAGUCGAACGGCAGCAUAGGUGCUUGCACCUGAUGGCGAGUGGCGAACGGGUGAGUAAUACAUCGGAACGUGCCCAGUCGUGGGGGAUAACGUAGCGAAAGUUACGCUAAUACCGCAUACGAUCUAAGGAUGAAAGCGGGGGACCGUAAGGCCUUGCGCGAUUGGAGCGGCCGAUGUCAGAUUGGGUAGUUGGUGAGGUAAAGGCUCACCAAGUCGACGAUCUGUAGCUGGUCUGAACGGACGACCAGCCACACUGGGACGGAGACACGGCCCAGACUCCUACGGGAGGCAGCAGUGGGGAAUUUUGGACAAUGGACGCAAGUCUGAUUCAGCCAUUCCGCGUGCAGGACGAAGGCCUUCGGGUUGUAAACUGCUUUUGUACGGAACGAAAAAGCUCUUACUAAUACUAGGAGUCCAUGACGGUACCGUAAGAAUAAGCACCGGCUAACUACGUGCCAGCAGCCGCCGUAA